GCACGACAGCAUACAUUGGAUAUAAAUACUGAUUUUUUUAAAUGAUAAUGUCAAAUUGUCAAAUAAAUAACAACAUUUCGACAGACCAUAUUUUAAUUGCAGAUACGAAAGAAUGUGCAGAUUUGAUCAAAAAUUGUUUACAUCGUAGAGCGUUAGCUGAGGUUUAAAAUGCAUCAGGUCAUUGUCCACUGAACCAGGUGGUACCUUUGAGGGGUAUAUAUAUCGAGAUCUAAAAAUCGAUAUAUAGUUUAACAUGUAAUGUUUGGCAGCACUGAAUCCAAAUAAACGGUUACGAGAUGUGUUGUGCGUGUUUUAUACAUAAAUUAAUAAUAAAGUUAGAAAUAUAUAACCGAGAGAUGCUCGAGAGAGGAGGAACAAAAUAUGUUCUUCACACGAUUUUAAUGAAAAAAGAAGAAUAGAGAUUGUAAAUCGAAGGGAGUUUUUAUUCGUCCGAUAUCUUUCAACCAGAUUUCUUCCUACCUUUACUUCUUUCAUAUUUGAUGAUGGACUUCAGGACUUCCAAAGGACUACAAUUACAUCCACUUUCUUCGUAUCUAAUCG